GAUGAACGCUGGCGGCGUGCUUAACACAUGCAAGUCGAACGGGAUCCCAGGAGCUUGCUCCUGGGUGAGAGUGGCGAACGGGUGAGUAAUGCGUGACCGACCUGCCCCAUACACCGGAAUAGCUCCUGGAAACGGGUGGUAAUGCCGGAUGCUCCAGUUGGAUGCAUGUCCUUCUGGGAAAGAUUCUAUCGGUAUGGGAUGGGGUCGCGUCCUAUCAGCUUGAUGGCGGGGUAACGGCCCACCAUGGCUUCGACGGGUAGCCGGCCUGAGAGGGCGACCGGCCACAUUGGGACUGAGAUACGGCCCAGACUCCUACGGGAGGCAGCAGUGGGGAAUAUUGCACAAUGGGCGCAAGCCUGAUGCAGCGACGCCGCGUGCGGGAUGACGGCCUUCGGGUUGUAAACCGCUUUUGACUGGGAGCAAGCCCUUCGGGGUGAGUGUACCUUUCGAAUAAGCAC
rnacentral:rRNA from 1 species